rnacentral:tRNA from 1 species
GACAUUAUACUUUAAUACAAAAGAAUUGAUUUGCAUUCAAUAAAUAAAGACCAGAUCUUUUAAUGCCA